rnacentral:lncRNA from 1 species
GAGUCUUUGACCUUGCUUUCAAAUAAUAAAUUUUAUGAAUAUGUUUCUGAAGGUUUACCAACUUUUUUUCUUUUCUCUCUUUUUCUACUCUGGUUUAUAGUUUGAAAAAGUACCAGAAGGUCCUAUCCCUCCAUCUACACCAAAGUUUGCAUAUGGAAAGGUCACUUUGGAAAAGUUAAAGACAGUGGGAGCAGCUCUGGACAUUCUGUGUCCCUCUGGGCCCAUCAAAAGCCUUUAUCCCUUGACAUUUAUCCAGGUGAAACAGGUAGGCCUUCAAAGGUAAUGCCUCGCCUUUUUUCUACUUGCAAAAGUGUGCUUUCUGCACUGCCUUGCAGUGCCCAUUCUGAAUUCAGGGGCCAAAAUGGUAAGCAAAUGCAUCAGAUCCCAGGUAAAUGAACCAUGAAUUUCCAGGCUCUCUUUAGCUUGAAGUGCUGCGUGGUGGGCUGAUCAUGCCUAUAUUUUUUGCCCCACUUCUUCUCACUCAUACAGGAGGUAGCCCAACCUGCUUCAACAUAAUUCUGUACAAGUUAUAAAUUGAGUUCACUGACCAAUCUAAUUAAUCUUUAUUACUAGGCAU